UGCCAUCCCGGGCGCAUGCGCACUGGCCGCGCGGCACGGGCGGCUCUUCUGUGGCGCCUGGCGUGGGCCUGUGAGCGAGCGAAGCGGUCCCGGCCCCGGCCCCGGCCCCGGCCCCGGCCCCGCGUGAGAGGCCCGGCCAUGGCGGCCCCGGCCCCGGCCCCGGCCCCCUCCACCUCGGGCGCGGCGGGGCGCGGGCCCAUCAAAGGCAUCCUGAAGAAGCGGGGCUCAGGCGGCGGCGGCGGCCUUCGCAGCAGCGCGCAGCCUCCGGCGCCGGCGCCGCCCCCGCGCCGCCCCAGCCCCGCGCCCGGGCCCUUCGAGGACGAGCAGGGUAAAAAGUCCCAAAAGUGGGAUGAAAUGAACAUCCUAGCUACAUACCAUCCAGCAGGCAAGGACUAUGGUUUAAUGAAAAUAGAUGAACCAAGCACUCCCUACCAUAGUAUGGUUGGAGAGGACGAUGAAGAUGCAGUGAGUGAUUCAGAAUUGAAUGAACCUGUAACAGCAGAUGUGUUAGCUAAAAAGUUAGUGGCAGCUGAAGGUAAAGGACCCAAGAUUCUAGCUCAAGAAGAAGAGUGCAGGGAAGAGGAGGAGGAGGAGGAGGAUGAGGAUGAAGAGUUAACGCCUGAAGAACGAGAAAAAAAGAAACAGUUUGAAAUGAAGAGAAAAAUGCAUUACAAUGAAGGACGAAAUAUCAAAUUGGCUAGGCAGCUAAUUGCAAAAGAACUACAUGGUGAGGAGGAGGAGGAUGAUGAUGAUCAAGAAAUGCACGAUGCUGGAGAUGAAGAAAACAUGAGUACAGAAAUCCUUGAACCUGGGGAAAGGAGGACACCAGUAGGAAUCUUUGUGACCUUUCUCCAUGGCUUGAAGCUGCCAUCUUCUUUCUGCUCCCUGCUAUAAAGCAGGGAGGCAGCUCCGCUCCCCAGCUGCGCUCUCCAGGGGAAAGACAGGCACGCGUUUGCAGUAUUUUUCCAUCUCUGCUGUUUGACAUCACUCCAUCCUGCUUCAUAAUCUGAUUUCUGAGCUGCAUCUGCACAUGCUACUAGUGACCAGCUGGAGAAUAGAGUGGACAACAUAGAAGAGAUCUGUCCAGAACUGUAACUGCUUGUCAAAGCUACAAACUUAUACAAUGCUUCAUGGUUUUGCGACUCUUAAGUAUUGAGAGGCAUGUCAGUUAUAGUGUUGUAUUGCCAAGAAUGUUAACUUUAGAGACUCGUAUAUUAGGCAGAAAAGCUGCCUAACUGGUUAUUCUUGUGCCUAGUAUUUCAUGGAGAGUACAACUUCAUAAUCCAUCAAACCAGAAAUUUGAGACAAAUUAAAUUGCAUAGCGCAUAUUGUCACCACGUGCUUUAAAACAUACAAAAAAUCAGUAUCUUUUGUAUUGUUGAUUAUUUAUUUGACACUGUUCUAGAUGUGGUGGUAUCUCUUGUAGUAGAAGGGUUUUGGAAUUCAAGAACCAAGCAGUACAGCAAGCAGGUUGAUAUGUACUAGCAGGUGAAUUUAGCAGUUAAAAAGGGAUGAUUUUAGUAGCAUAACUUUUUGUAGAAUUUUUUUGACCUGUUACUCUAGAAGAAGGUAUGUCAUGACUCCUAUUUUCUCAAUCUUUAUAAGAGAAGAGCUGCAUUAUUUUUGUGGUCUAAAAAAAAAUCUGUUUUGAAUCGGUUACUAGUUCCUGACUAAGACAACACUAACAACUGGUGGGAUAUUUGUACACUAGAGAUGUGCAGACCUUGAUUUUGCAUCUAAUUGUGAUGAUCUCUUCCCUUGGGGAUGAAUGGGUUUUGGAACUUUCCUUAUUUGUCUGUUCAGAUCUCAAAACUUCUCUCCAGUAUUUUCCCCCUCAGGCCCCCCAAAUGUCACUCUACUGAUUUCCUUUAAGAUCUGCCUUAAAAUCCUUUGCACCUUCUGACUUGCUGUGAUGUGAACUCAUGCUGCUAGCAUCUGAGGAUAAGUAUUUGUCUGAGCAAAUCUACUUCAGUGCUAUGGAGAUGGAAUGGUGUAGCUUUGUAUCGUGCCAGCCUUCCACUCCGCCUAGUAACUGCUGAUGACCUAAUUCCUUCUUGGGACUUGUAAUCUGUAUAUUGAAAACCACUGGUUUAGAAGUUUCCUGAUCCAAUGUAACUUGCAGCAGCUGCUUUUGUAAGAUGAAAGCUAUUUGGAAGAAUAGAAGGGAGAUUGUCCUAUAAUGUAUAAUUUUUGUGCUGUUAACAGUGUGGUUCUAUAGCCCUGAUGGAGAGAGAGUACUGAACCUACAGAUUACUGUAAACAAUAACAUCCCACUCAAAAGAUCUUGACUAUGGUGUGGAUGUACUGGUAUUCAGAGUAGUACUUGGUUUUAUUCUGCAAAUGAUGUACUCUUAAAGCUGUGGGUUGGUCAUGAAAUAUUUUGUAUUCCAAUUAUGUCUGUAUUUCUCUUAAAUUUGAAUUAAAUCAGAUACGUUCUAAACGUCUGUAAUUAUACGGACCUAUUUUAAAAUGACUUCCUGUCCAAAAUGUAUUUAUGAAGUCUGAAUAAAAGAAUGAAAAAGUUACUUUACAAUUAA